AAUUGACCAAUCAAAAUGAACUUAGUCAAAUGUAGGUCCAUACAUAUAAAAUUAUUUUUCUUUUCUUUUGAGGCGUUUUUCUAUUUUCUUCCAAGCCAUUUUUACAACUUUGGUACCUGUGCCUAGUAAAUUUUAUGUACUUUGUGAAUAAAUAAAGGUUUUUGACAGGAACUAUUUUUUUCAGGGCAUAGGAGGCUACUUCCUGUGAUGCACUCGAGGUGUUUAUAAACAAAGUGAAAACACGUGGAUUUGAGGGUAGCCCUGUUUGCAGAUGGAAAAAGUCCGAAAAUGCCGUGUGGGUACCCUGUUUUUUGGUGUCAGCUAAUGUGACAGGGCAUAGGAGGCUACUUCCUGUGAUGCACUCGAGGUGUUUAUAAACAAAGUGAAAACACGUGGAUUUGAGGGUAGCCCUGUUUGCAGAUGGAAAAAGUCCGAAAAUGCCGUGUGGGUACCCUGUUUUUUGGUGUCAGCUAAUGUGACAGGGCAUAGGAGGCUACUUCCUGUGAUGCACUCGAGGUGUUUAUAAACAAAGUGAAAACACGUGGAUUUGAGGGUAGCCCUGUUUGCAGAUGGAAAAAGUCCGAAAAUGCCGUGUGGGUACCCUGUUUUUUGGUGUCAGCUAAUGUGACAGGUAA